rnacentral:rRNA from 1 species
UACAGAGGGUGCAAACGUUGCUCGGAAUUACUGGGCGUAAAGCGCGUGUAGGCGGUUCGUUAAGUCGUCUGUGAAAGCCCAUGGUUCAACCAUGGAAGUGCAGCCGAUACUGGCAAACUUGAGUCCCGGAGAGGAUGGCGGAAUUCCCAGUGUAGAGGUGAAAUUUGUAGAUAUUGGGAGGAACACCGGUGGCGAAGGCGGCCAUCUGGACGGGUACUGACGCUGAGACGCGAAAGCGCGGGUAGCAAACAGG